rnacentral:tRNA from 1 species
GCCCGCAUGGCUCAGUGGUUGAGCAUCUACCUAUGAACUAGAAGGUCAAGGGUUCGAUUCCCAGUCAGGGCA